ensembl:snRNA U6 U6 spliceosomal RNA
GUGCUCGCUUUGCCAGCACAUAUACUAAAAUUGAAACAACACAGAGAAGAUUAACAUGGCCCCUGCACAAGAAUGACAUGCAAAUUAAUGAAGUGUUCCAUAUUAAA